UGCUCCUAAAGGACCAGAGAGACCACAGAGACCACAGAGACCAGUGAGACCAGUGAGACCAGAGAGACCAGAGAGACCAGAGAGACCAGUGAGACCAGUGAGACCAGUGAGACCAGAGAGACCACAAGAACAUCAACAGGCUGGUCUCUUCCCUCCUAAUGCUCUCGUUAGAAAACACACUUUCUCCACUAAAUACAUGAGUGUAUAAAUAUACUGGAAAAACAAAAGAUCGGGGUUCAUUCUCUGCGAACUGACAACCGUGUUGCAUGGUAUCAGGGACACAUUGAUGAAUCCAGAACUUCUGUAAUAACUCUGUGCAACUUUGAUGAGUAUAUCUUCGGAAUAAAUUGAUACU